rnacentral:lncRNA from 1 species
CCGAAUUUUAUAAAAUAAAAGUAUUCAAUUUUUCUUAUAAUUACUAUUCAGUAAAUGGUUAAAUUGAUAAAAGUUUAAAAUUAAGGGUGAUAUAUGAAUUUUUUUUUAAAAUAAGCAAGUGGUUAUAAAAUAUUCUUUCUGUCGGGCAAUAUUCGUACGACGGCGCAGCCAUUUGUGGGCCUCAUAACAGAAUAACUAUCGGAUGAAGAAAACGACAAAAGAGAGUUUUUUAAAUAACGGCGUAGUUGUUACCGUUAAUACUGUUGGAAUACCCGGUGGUUAAAAUACAGUAAUACGCGUUGUUGCACAGUAGCACACGGUAUUGCAUCAAUUAUUGAUUCUUACGUAAGAAGGCACUACUCAAUAAUUGUUAC